UUUUAAUUAAAAAAAGAUAAACACAUUUUUUCAUGGAACAUGAGAAAUAUUUUUUUCUGAAUUCUCUCUGGCACACACGUAUUGAUAUGUUGAUACCUAUUGGCAUUUGUAAUUGUCAAAAUAUCACUGUCUUUUGUCAUCUUUUCGGCCAGAGACUCCAAAAGUUCAAGAAUCAUCCUCUUGUUGCUUCCACUAGUUUUAUUGGUCGAAAUCUCAUUUCACUCCUUUUCAAUUGUUCCGUAAUAGACUAAUAUGCUUUUGGUGGAUUCUAGCCAAGUUUCCCAACUCGAAAGCUUGCUUUAGCUUUCGAGUGACUACAAUAAUUUUUACACAUCUAAAUGACGUAAUAUAAAUUCAGCGACAUUCUAAUCGAGCUGAUAAGAAAUAAUUAUAUUUUUAUUUCAUCUUCCAUUAAUUUUGUUUAUUCAUUUGCUCAAACUGAACAAGGCUUGCAAGCCAGCCAGGAAACAACGGAAUCCAAGCAAAGCUUGUAAUCUUCAAAAAGAAAAAGGGGAAAGGGAAUUUGAUGAGCCUAGUCUGCGGGGCUCCGAGUUUGGACAGAUGGAGGAAAAUAGGAAUAAUGGGCCGUGGAGAUAAUCAGAGAAAGGCGGGAGCUCAUAACGGGCAUGGGCUGACAGAGAGAGAAAGUGAGAGAAAACCCUAUCCGUCAUAGAAAAGGGAGGAAAAAUUGUGGGUAAGGCCCAACCGAUGAGAACAUUUGGAAUGAAGCAGCAAGGUUUGAAGAUGACCUAUAAAAUGCCAAUUUCUAGCGAGCUUCAUGCAGAGCCGAACAGAAAUUAACAGUUUGAGCGCUAAGCUUCAUGGCGGAGCGUUCAAAUAGCGAGUGAAGGAAUCCAGACUGUGCCCUCAUUUCUGAGGUCAAAGGGAUUAUAGGAAGAGACUGGCAAAAUCUUCCUUUAUGGCCUGGCUGACGAUCAUGCAGUGGUGACACUAAUAGAGUAGCAGCCCAAGGCCAUAUUUAAAGCUUUGCAAAGCUCUUUCAGAAAAGCUGCUCUCUUUCACAAUCUUCAAUCCCUUGAUGUUCAUUUCGCUCCUCUUCAUGUUACAUGCUCGGGAAGCCCCGCCUGGAAAUUGUUCCCCAAUGCACUCAUUUCAUUACCUACAUUCUCCCAGAGUAUGUUGACCAAUGUCUAAUGGCUUACCUCACUCCGAAGCCCAAUUAGAAUAUUCCAAGAGAAGCUUUUACUAUAUAGCACUUGGCACAUACUAAAAACACAAGUCACAGUCAAAUUGCCCAACAGCCUGUCAUUUCUUACAUGCACUCAAACCUUUCUCUUUCUACUGUCUUUAUUAUAAGAACCUAACAACACUCAACAUAGGCACAUGAGACCGAACAACGUCCAGUGGUGAAUUUACAGAUCAUACAGCCAACUAGGGUGACUUGAUAAGUAUUCACAUACUACAUUCACAUUAACAGCAUAUCGCCUCAAGAUAAUUCUGGCACAAAUGCACUGAACAAGCUCAAUACACCCACCAACUCAAAGCCAAUG